rnacentral:rRNA from 1 species
AUCCAGACUCCUACGGGAGGCAGCAGUGGGGAAUAUUGCACAAUGGGGGAAACCCUGAUGCAGUGACGCCGCGUGAGCGAUGAAGUAUUUCGGUAUGUAAAGCUCUAUCAGCAGGGAAGAAGAUGACGGUACCUGACUAAGAAGCCCCGGCUAACUACGUGCCAGCAGCCGCGGUAAUACGUAGGGGGCAAGCGUUAUCCGGAUUUACUGGGUGUAAAGGGAGCGUAGACGGCGAUGCAAGCCAGAUGUGAAAGCCCGGGGCUCAACCCCGGGACUGCAUUUGGAACUGUGUGGCUGGAGUGUCGGAGAGGCAGGCGGAAUUCCUAGUGUAGCGGUGAAAUGCGUAGAUAUUAGGAGGAACACCAGUGGUGAAGGCGGCCUGCUGGACGAUGACUGACGUUGAGGCUCGAAAGCGUGGGGAGCAAACAGGAUUAGAUACCCCUGUA